AACGCUCUGGCUCAAAUAGGUAGGAUACCCGCUGACUUAAC
rnacentral:rRNA from 1 species